rnacentral:rRNA from 1 species
UACGUAGGGCGCAAGCGUUGUCCGGAAUUAUUGGGCGUAAAGAGCUCGUAGGCGGUCUGUUACGUCCGCUGUGAAAACCCAGGGCUUAACCCUGGGCUGGCAGUGGAUACGGGCAGACUAGAGGUAGGUAGGGGAGAAUGGAAUUCCCGGUGUAGCGGUGAAAUGCGCAGAUAUCGGGAGGAACACCGGUGGCGAAGGCGGUUCUCUGGGCCUGUCCUGACGCUGAGGAGCGAAAGUGUGGGGAGCGAACAGG